GUGGCAUAAAGUUUGUUGAGAAAUACUGAAGUUUGGAGUUUGAAUUAAGUUGUAGGAAAUUUUUGGCAAUUUAGCAUAUAAACCUUAAAGGUUGUUUUGCAUAGGGGCGUUAUUUGGUGCAAUUAUAGAAGCCUUGAGGUUGUAGCCCCAAAGUUGUAGGUAUGAAUUUUGGAACUUGGAACAACCAUUGCAUGCCAAAAACUUAAGGGAACUUCCCUCCCAAGUUGUUCUCAGAUCUUGCUACCCUGUUAAGACCAUGAUAGGGAGACAUUUUUCGUAUUUGCAGUCUCUUCUUUGCUGCAUCACGUCAUGGUAGUAAAAUUUGGGAAAAUUCUAACUAGUGGCAGGCUACUUAGAUUUAGGAAGAAAACCUUAAAUUCUUAAAACUUCAUAGAAGGCUACUUAAAUUAUCUCAUUUCAUUGCAAUAAGAUGAAAUGACAGUCAUAUCUCUGUUUUCUAGAACAACCAUAAUUUAUAGAUAAAAUUGUCAUAACAAAAUCUA
rnacentral:misc_RNA from 1 species